rnacentral:rRNA from 1 species
UACGGGGGGGGCAAGCGUUGUCCGGAUUUAUUGGGCGUAAAGAGCGUGUAGGCGGCCAGACAGGUCCGUUGUGAAAACUCGAGGCUCAACCUCGAGACGCCGAUGGAAACCGUCUGGCUAGAGUCCGGAAGAGGAGAGUGGAAUUCCUGGUGUAGCGGUGAAAUGCGCAGAUAUCAGGAAGAACACCCGUGGCUAAGGCGGCUCUCUAGUACGGUACUGACGCUGAGACGCGAAAGCGUGGGGAGCGAACAGG